rnacentral:rRNA from 1 species
UACGUAGGCAGCGAGCGUUUGUUCGGAAUUACUGGGCGUAAAGAGUGUGUAGGCGGUGCUCUAAGUUCGGUGUGAAAUCUCCUGGCUUAACUGGGAGGGUGCGCCGGAAACUGGAGUGCUCGAGCGUGGGAGAGGAAAGGCGGAAGUUCCUGGUGUAGCGGUGAAAUGCGUAGAUAUCAGGAGGAACACCUGUGGUGUAGACGGCUUUCUGGACCAUAGCUGACGCUGAGACACGAAAGCGUGGGUAGCAAACAGG